GGUGAUCGAGCGAAGGCUUGAUUCCUCCCUCGCUGUACCGAGGGAAGCCUUUCCCACCUCAUCUCUUAUAUGUGUGUGUGUGUAUGUAUAUAUAUAUAUAUUCUGUUAUUAUAUAAUGUAGAUGAUGAUUGAUUGAAGAUUUCCUUUCUACAAUAAGCCUACGAGAUGAAUUGGACCUUAGCCCGAAGAGCGCUUCCCUAGUACUGGCGGAGAGACUGAGAGAACGGAACUCCAGUGCACUGAUUGAGCUAGCUAGAAGCAGG
rnacentral:lncRNA from 1 species